rnacentral:rRNA from 1 species
UACAGAGGGUGCAAGCGUUAAUCGGAAUUACUGGGCGUAAAGCGCGCGUAGGUGGUUCGUUAAGUUGGAUGUGAAAGCCCCGGGCUCAACCUGGGAAUGGCAGUGGAUACUGGCGAGCUAGAGUGUGAUAGAGGAUGGUGGAAUUCCCGGUGUAGCGGUGAAAUGCGUAGAUAUCUGGAGGAAUACCGGUGGCGAAGGUGGCAUCCUGGACCGACAUUGACGCUGAGGAGCGAAAGCUAGGGGAGCAAACGGG